AAAAGGGGGAAAAAAGGGGAAAGAGAGCAGAGAGGGGGGCGAUUUGUUUUGAUUUCAUCUUUAUUUUUUCAUUUUCAUUUUUUUUUUGUAAAUAGAUGAUAUAAAAGGACCAAUAUAUGUUGUAAUACCCACGCAACCAGAAUACAAUAAACACACCAAAAAGGUGAUUCCUUUUUUCUUUCUGCCUUCGAGGUUUUUUUUUUCAUCUUCUACAUCCAUGGAUAUUUUUUUAAGGCAACA
rnacentral:lncRNA from 1 species